AGAGUUUGAUCCUGGCUCAGGAUGAACGCUGGCGGCGUGCCUAAUACAUGCAAGUCGAGCGAAGGAUGUAGCAAUACGUCUUUAGCGGCGAACGGGUGAGUAACGCGUUGGUGACCUGCCUCGAAGCGUGGGAUAACAGUUCGAAAGGAUUGCUAAUACCGCAUGUGGUUGCGGAGAUUAGAAGCUUUACAACUGAAGGAGAAAUUCACUUCGAGAGGGGCCUGCGUCCCAUCAGCUAGUUGGUGAGGUAAAAGCCCACCAAGGCGAUGACGGGUAGGGGACCUGAGAGGGUGGCCCCCCACAAUGGAACUGAAACACGGUCCAUACACCUACGGGUGGCAGCAGUAGGGAAUAUUGCAUAAUGGGCGAAAGCCUGAUGCAGCAACGCCGCGUGUGCGAUGAAGGCCUUCGGGUCGUAAAGCACUUUUAGAGAGGAUGAGGAAGGACAGUACUCUCUGAAUAAGCCUCGGCUAACUACGUGCCAGCAGCCGCGGUAAAACGUAGGAGGCGAGCGUUAUCCGGAUUUACUGGGCGUAAAGCGCGUGCAGGCGGUAAGGAAAGUUGGAUGUGAAAGCUCCUGGCUUAACUGGGAGAGGUCGUUCAAAACUACCUAACUAGAGUAUGGGAGAGGGAGGCGGAAUUCCGGGUGUAGUGGUGAAAUGCGUAGAUAUCCGGAGGAACACCAGUGGCGAAAGCGGCCUCCUGGCCCAAAACUGACGCUCAGACGCGAAAGCUAGGGUAGCAAACGGGAUUAGAGACCCCGGUAGUCCUAGCUGUAAACGAUGUGGACUUGGCGUCGGCGGGUUUAAAUCCGUCGGUGUCGAAGCCAACGCGAUAAGUCCACCGCCUGGGGACUACGGCCGCAAGGUUAAAACUCAAAGGAAUUGACGGGGGCCCGCACAAGCAGCGUAGCGUGUGGUUUAAUUCGAUUUACACGAAGAACCUUACCAAGGUUUGACAUACGGGUGGUAGGGAAAAGAAAUUGGACCGACCCUUCGGGGAGCCUGAACAGGUGCUGCAUGGCUGUCGUCAGCUCGUGUCGUGAGAUGUUCGGUUAAGUCCGCUAACGAGCGCAACCCUCGCUGUGUGUUACAAGUGUCACACGGGGCUGCCGGUCUUAAGCCGGAGGAAGGUGGGGAUGACGUCAAGUCAGCAUGGCCGUUAUGCCUUGGGCUACACACACGCUACAAUGGGUAACACAAUAGGUAGCGAAACCGCGAGGUGGAGCCAAUCCUCAAAGUUACCCUCAGUUCAGAUCGUAGGCUGCAACUCGCCUGCGUGAAGACGGAGUUGCUAGUAACCGCAGGUCAGCUAUACUGCGGUGAAUACGUUCCCGGGCCUUGUACACACCGCCCGUCACGUCAUGGGAGCUGGCAACACCUGAAGCCGGUAUCCUAACCGCAAGGAGGGAGCCGUCGAGGGUGGGGUUGGUGACUGGGACGAAGUCGGAACAAGGUA
rnacentral:rRNA from 1 species